AGGGGUAUAGCUCAAUUGGCAAGAGUAGCGGUCUCCAAAACCGCCCGUCCAGGUUCAAGUCCUGGUGCCCCUG
rnacentral:tRNA from 1 species